UCUCCAGCUGUUUUUGGACUGCAAUUCCCAUCAUCCCUGACCACUGGUCCUGCUAAGCUAGGGGUGAUGGGAGCUGUAGUCCAGCAACAGCUGGAGA